AUUGAACGCUGGCGGCAGGCCUAACACAUGCAAGUCGAGCGGUAGCACAGAGAGCUUGCUCUCGGGUGACGAGCGGCGGACGGGUGAGUAAUGUCUGGGAAACUGCCUGAUGGAGGGGGAUAACUACUGGAACAGGUAGCUAAUACCGCAUACCGUCGCAAGACCAAAGUUGGGGACCUUCGGGCCUCAUGCCAUCAGAGGUGCCCAGAUGGGAUUAGCUAGUAGGUGGGGUAACGGCUCACCUAGGCGACGAUCCCUAGCUGGUCUGAGAGGAUGACCAGCCACACUGGAACUGAGACACGGUCCAGACUCCUACGGGAGGCAGCAGUGGGGAAUAUUGCACAAUGGGCGCAAGCCUGAUGCAGCCAUGCCGCGUGUGUGAAGAAGGCCUUCGGGUUGUAAAGCACUUUCAGCGGGGAGGAAGGCGGUGAGGUUAAUAACCUCAUCGAUUGACGUUACCCGCAGAAGAAGCACCGGCUAACUCCGUGCCAGCCGCCGCAGUAA
rnacentral:rRNA from 1 species